GGUUAUCAUGGCAAAUGGUUACAUGCUAACUUAAUAAUAGUAGUACUGCUAGCUCGCUUUUUAAAGAGUUAAUUAGAUUUGGGACACCUUCUGUACCUUUCUAUUUCAGUGAGCAGAUCCUGACUCAAACGUCCCGGACUGGGUGGAACAGGCAGUGCACGAUCUUCUCGACUGCAGAGGUGGAGAGAUAAGAUGAGUUAAGGGAGGUGUGACAUAAAACUAACUCUCACAAGAUAAGGAAAGCAAAGAUUGUUCUGAUCCAGUUAGUGAGAGGGAAGUGAGAGGAUGUAAGAGGAAGCUGGGAACUCCAAAUGUGACUUUAUACCACAGUUCAGUGAGCAAACCCUGACUCAAACGUCCCGGACUGGGGGGAACAGGCAGUGCAGGAUCUUCUCGACUGCAGAGGAGGAGAGAUAAGAUGAGUUAAGGGAGGUGACAUAAAAAUAACUCUCACAAGGUAAAGAAAGCAAACAUCAGAUUGUUCUGGUCCAGGAAGUGAGAGGAAGCUGGAAACUCCCAAUGUGACUUCAUACCCCAGUGAGCAGAUCCUGACUCCAACGUUUAGGACUGGGGGGAACAGGCAGUGCAGGAUCUUUUCGACUGCAGAGGUGGAGAGAUAAGAUGAGUUAAGGGAGGUGACAUAAAAUAACUCUCACAAGGUAAAGAAAGCAGACAUCAGAUUGUUCUGAUCCAGGAAGUGUGAGGAAGCUGGAAACUCCAAAUGUGACUUUAUACCACAGUGAGCAAAUCCUGCUGCCAUUUUUUAGGACUGGGGGGAACAGGCAGUGCAGGAUCUUCUCGACUGCAGAGGAGGAGAGAUAACAUGAGGAAGUGAGAGGAAGUAAGAGGAAGCUGGAAACUCCAAAUGUGACUUUAUACCACAGUGAGUAGAUCCUGACUCCAACGUUUAGGACUGGGGGGAACAGGCAGUGCACGAUCUUCUCGACUGCAGAGGUGGAGAGAUAAGAUGAGGAAGUGAGAGGAAGUAAGAGGAAGUUGUAAACUCCAAAUGUGACUUCAUACCACAGUUCAGUGAGCAAAUCCUGCUGCCAUUGUUUAGGACUGGGGGGAACAGGCAGUGCAGGAUCUUCUCGACUGCAGAGGAGGAGAGAUAAGAUGAGGUAAGGUGACAUAAUAAUAACUCUCACAAGGUAAAGAAAGCAAACAUCAGAUUGUUCUGAUCCAGGAAGUGAGACAAAGUGAGAGGAAGCUGGAAACUCCAAAUGUGACUUUAUACCAUUUAGAUAAAAAAUAAAAAAAUUAAAAAAAAGCAAUAAGGUUA